AUGUCUCCGUACUUAAGAUUUACUAGGUCAAGAAACAAGGUGUGAUAGAUAUAUUUUUCAAAAGAAUGUAACCCUAAUUUUUCCACCCAAAAACACAAAUCUUAUCUCAUACCUCGCUACUCCGGCAGAUAAUGGAACACCGACGAGCUCGUUGCUCCGUUAAAGCUCACAGUUUCAUCACAACACAACCAUCAAGAAACGACCACUCCAUAUUAUGAAAGUUUGGUACUGAAAAGAUCAAGGUAGAAUAUGUUAGUGAAAAUGAAGAUCCACAAAAGCCAGAGUCAAUUCACAGAUCAUCUCAAGAGGAUACAGUUAAUGUCGAAUAUAGAUUAUCUAUCACUUGUUAGACACCUUUUUAGAGUGUUAUGGUUGAUAAGAUACAUUAACUCUAAUUUUAGAGUGUUUGUUUUUACGGUUUUGAAAUACUUUUUCCUACGCAAGUUUUAGAGUGUUUCUCUAAAAUAUCUUGUUUAUUCUGACUUUAACUUUCAAUAUAUUUACUUGUUAUUUACAGGUUGAAUUGCCU